CGGUAACAGGAAGCAGCUUGCUGCUUUGCUGACGAGUGGCGGACGGGUGAGUAAUGUCUGGGAAACUGCCUGGUGGAGGGGGAUAACUACUGGAAACGGUAGCUAAUACCGCAUAACGUCGCAAGACCAAAGAGGGGGACCUUCGGGCCUCUUGCCAUCGGAUGUGCCCAGAUGGGAUUAGCUAGUAGGUGGGGUAACGGCUCACCUAGGCGACGAUCCCUAGCUGGUCUGAGAGGAUGACCAGCCACACUGGAACUGAGACACGGUCCAGACUCCUACGGGAGGCAGCAGUGGGGAAUAUUGCACAAUGGGCGCAAGCCUGAUGCAGCCAUGCCGCGUGUAUGAAGAAGGCCUUCGGGUUGUAAAGUACUUUCAGCGGGGAGGAAGGGAGUAAAGUUAAUACCUUUGCUCAUUGACGUUACCCGCAGAAGAAGCACCGGCUAACUCCGUGCCAGCAGCCGCGGUAAUACGGAGGGUGCAAGCGUUAAUCGGAAUUACUGGGCGUAAAGCGCACGCAGGCGGUUUGUUAAGUCAGAUGUGAAAUCCCCGGGCUCAACCUGGGAACUGCAUCUGAUACUGGCAAGCUUGAGUCUCGUAGAGGGGGGUAGAAUUCCAGGUGUAGCGGUGAAAUGCGUAGAGAUCUGGAGGAAUACCGGUGGCGAAGGCGGCCCCCUGGACGAAGACUGACGC
rnacentral:rRNA from 1 species